GCACCCAUGUCUUUUGCGCACUUGUUGUUUCCUGGGCGGGUUCGCCCGCCACCAGGACCAAACCAUAAACCUUUUUUUUUAUGCAGUUGCAAUCAGCGUCAGUAAAAACAAUGUAAUUAAUUACAACUUUCAACAACGGAUCUCUUGGUUCUGGCAUCGAUGAAGAACGCAGCGAAAUGCGAUACGUAGUGUGAAUUGCAGAAUUCAGUGAAUCAUCGAAUCUUUGAACGCACAUUGCGCCCUUUGGUAUUCCAAAGGGCAUGCCUGUUCGAGCGUCAUUUGUACCUUCAAGCUUUGCUUGGUGUUGGGCGUUUUUGUCUCCCUCUUUCUGGGAGACUCGCCUUAAAACGAUUGGCAGCCGGCCUACUGGUUUCGGAGCGCAGCACAUAAUUUGCGCUUUGUAUCAGGAGAAAAGGACGGUAAUCCAUCAAGACUCUACAUUUUUAACUUUUGACCUCGGAUCAGGUAGGGAUACCCGCUGAACUUAAGCAUAUCAA
rnacentral:rRNA from 1 species